UCCUUCUGACACUGGGAAUGAGUGAUCCUGAUGUUUCAGUCGAAAAGACAAAAAACGUCAUCUGAGGCAGUGUGGUGAGGACCGCUCUCCUGUGAUUUAAAAAGCUGUGCCUUGUGCAGCGCGAGUGUCACUUACGAUGAUGUCUCUUCAAUAGAAGACUUUGCAGAUGACUACCUCUGGCUGCUGGUUCCUCCAUUGCCAUGACCUUCUGAAGAUGGAGCAGAGCAGGAAUGGCCAUCUUAGGAAACUGAGUAUCUUCUGUUACAGUGCUCUGUAUUCAGUGCUCCCACGAGCCUCACAUCUGAAGAUGCGUUGGAGACUCCGCGCACCCCUGCUUUCUUGGACAGUGUGUCACUGUCUGUCUACCCUACCUUCUUUCCUUCUGGAUGUGCACUUCCUACUUUGCCCAUCUCUAAGAGUGGGUUUCGAGGAUCCUGAGAAUGCCUCCUGCAUGGGUAUUACAAGCCUUCUCCAUGUCAAGUUGCUAAGCACAGAUCUCUCCUCAGAUCUCAACGCCGUGUGUGUGAUGGAAUAAAGCCAACAGAAACCCAAUGCCAAACAGAAUUCCAAGUGGAAAAGCCACACCACGCUGGGGUUCUUUGAGGUCUCUGUGUUUUAAGAGGGACACAGGUCAAAGUUAACGGCACAGAGAAAAGCCAGGAACGUGGGAGGUCCUAGGAAGGAAGGAGGGAAGUGAGGUCACAGGCGAAUACCUCUGUCCUGCAGGUUGGUGCUCAUUAGAGUUUAAAGGACAACUCUGACAUCCUAUUUCAUAGAGUGGGGAUUUGUUUUUUCAUGUAGAAGUUUUAAAAUAACAGUUUUCAAAGGAAAUGAGGAGGGAGCUGAAUUGUUUUCUUAGGAAAAUACAAGUUAAUUAAAUUAAGCUGUCUUUUCUGA